AGGCACGUGAGUAAGAGGGAGGGAACAGUGCAGCAUGGAGGUACAACAGACUGCUGCAGCAGCGCAGAAAGAUGAACGCGAUGGUUUAGGGAUAUUAAAUCGGGUCGGGCGUGGAGAGCAAAGCGAAGGGAGUCACGGCGCUUUAUCCUACACGACGCCGUGUCACUCCCAACUGCACCCCCACUUGAACGCAACGGCUCCAGCGCGGCAUGUGGUCGUCCCAGGUGUCCAGAUUCCUCGGGCACCGCGGUCCCCACCCCCUCCGACCCCCGUACUCUUCCCCCCUACAACUCGCUGAUGGAACGAACGUGGAGGGAUGGGCGCAGAAAGCAAAGUUUGGAAAGGCUAAAUUGGAUCACUUGGACAUAGCCUUUUCCAUCCAUCGCCAUCCAUACGGGAGUUCCAGGCGUGGAGCAAUGAGCGUCAAGGAGACGAAGCUGGGCGCACUCUCCGGAAACAUUUAAAUGACAAAGAAUAAUUAAAUGCGAAUGCUUCACGAUCCCUAUCAAACGUAAGUUUGACCACAUCCUCUCUCUCCCUCUCCCUCUCCUUACAUUAUUUGAUUAAAUGCUACUGCUCAUUUUUUUUGCUUCACCGUCGUGUAGGCACCCGGCCG